UGCAAGGGGUCGCAGUGAAAGGCUCUACCGACUGUUUACCAAAAACACAGGUCUGUGCUAACGCGCAAGCGGACGUAUACGGGCUGACGCCUGCCCAGUGCCGGAAGGUUAAGAGGAGCGGUGCAAGCUGCGAAUUGAAGCCCCGGUGAACGGCGGCCGUAACUAUAACGGUCCUAAGGUAGCGAAAUUCCUUGUCGGGUAAGUUCCGACCCGCACGAAAGGCGUAACGAGUGGAGCGCUGUCUCAACAGGGGACCCGGCGAAAUUGAAGUACGUGUGAAGAUGCGCGUGACCCGCAGCAGGACAAAAAGACCCCGUGGAGCUUUACUGUAGCCUGUCAUUGCGUUAGGACUGCGUUUGUGUAGGAUAGCUGGGAGGGGGAGAAGCUGGGCCGCUAGGCUCGGUGGACUCAACGGUGAAAUACCAGCCUGACGUGGUUUUGACCCUAACCCCUUCGGGGGACAGUGGCAGGUGGGCAGUUUGACUGGGGC
rnacentral:rRNA from 1 species